rnacentral:rRNA from 1 species
GACAGCAGCAGCCACGGGAAUACGGAGGGUGCAAGCGUUAAUCGGAAUUACUGGGCGUAAAGCGCACGCAGGCGGUCUGUCAAGUCAGAUGUGAAAUCCCCGGGCUUAACCUGGGAACUGCAUUUGAAACUGGCAGGCUAGAGUCUUGUAGAGGGGGGUAGAAUUCCAGGUGUAGCGGUGAAAUGCGUAGAGAUCUGGAGGAAUACCGGUGGCGAAGGCGGCCCCCUGGACAAAGACUGACGCUCAGGUGCGAAAGCGUGGGGAGCAAACAGGAUUAGAUACCCCUGUAGUCCCUGUCUCUUAUAC